ACAGAGAAGUUGAUCUUGUCGGAGAAUCUAAGUGUCGGAUGAUUAUGUGCUCUUAUGUUCCAAGUUCGAUGCUAAUCCAGUAAGGUCCGCUACAAUUAAUACCUGCAUGUGGCAAAAGGAAAUGAUUAGUCCAUUAUAUAGUUUACAAAUACAUUUUCAUUCAUUUUUAUGUUUCUUUUUUUCCUCAAGUGUUCCCAUGUCCUUUCGAACAAGACUUACUUGGUUUACAGGGUUUGCUGAUCAUAAACCAAACUUGAGUACUGUUUAGGUAUCAAGAGAAAAAGUUGAGAGUUAAUUACAUCAUUGUAAGAGAGUCUUCGGGUGUGCUUGUUAGUUGUUGUUAAUUAUAUAAGAAGAAGCUUAAUGACAUGUAAUUAUAAUAGCUCAGUAGCUCUACUGAUUUUUUUUUUCGCUUGGAUGGUUUAUUAACAAUAUUCAUAUCAAUGGAGCCGUUCUCUUUCCCAUCUAUAUAUAUCUAAAAGAUUAUCAAAAGCCAAGAAAACAGAGGAGGCGGCAUACAUCUUCAGAUCUUCUUCUUCUAUCCACCGAUUCUUCAUUACUUUAGAAAUUCUUCUGCGUAUAUCUUCUGAAAACUAUGUUAACCUUCCUAAGUGUUACAUGACAAGUGAUAUAUAUUACAAACAAAUUAGACAACAGUUACUUUUGUUGAUGUUUUGGAAAUUAUAACAAACAAAACAAAGCACGAAUGCUAGCUUUUAAUUAGUCUCAGUACUGAAUUUAGAAAAUACAAGGAAGCUGAUUCAGUUCCAGAAAAA
rnacentral:lncRNA from 1 species